rnacentral:tRNA from 1 species
GAAACAGAAUAAUUAAAAUUGAACUUCUAAUUCAAUCCAAUAGUGGUGUAAACCCAUUAAUGUUUCU